GGAAGUGGACAGGUUCUGGUGGGCCUCCUGGACUUCAAAUCCAGUGGCGGGCUUAAGAGGUCCGCGGUGGGUUCGAUUCCCAUGCACUUCCGCCA
rnacentral:tRNA from 1 species